rnacentral:tRNA from 1 species
ACCUGGGUGGCUCAGUUGGUUGAGCAUCUGACUUCAGCUCAGGUCAUGAUCUUGUGUUUUGUGAGUUCAAGCCCCACAUUGGGCU